rnacentral:tRNA from 1 species
UCCCCCGUGGCGCAAUUGGCUAGCGCGUUCGACUGUUACUCGGCAGAUUAUCGAGAGGUUGGUGGUUCAAGCCCACCCGGGGGAG